AUUGAACGCUGGCGGAAUGCUUUACACAUGCAAGUCGAACGAUGAACCUUAGCUUGCUAAGGGGAUUAGUGGCGAACGGGUGAGUAAUAUAUCGGAACGUGCCUUGUAAUGGGGGAUAACUAGUCGAAAGAUUAGCUAAUACCGCAUACGCCCUGAGGGGGAAAGUAGGGGAUCUUCGGACCUUACGUUAUAAGAGCGGCCGAUAUCUGAUUAGCUAGUUGGUGGGGUAAUGGCCUACCAAGGCGACGAUCAGUAGCUGGUCUGAGAGGACGACCAGCCACACUGGAACUGAGGCACGGUCCAGACUCCUACGGGAGGCAGCAGUGGGGAAUUUUGGACAAUGGGCGCAAGCCUGAUCCAGCCAUUCCGCGUGAGUGAAGAAGGCCUUCGGGUUGUAAAGCUCUUUCGCAAGGGAAGAAAACUUACCAUCGAAUAAAUGGUGAGGCUGACGGUACCUUGAUAAGAAGCACCGGCUAACUACGUG
rnacentral:rRNA from 1 species